ACCAGGCGACGAUCAGUAGUUGGUCUGAAAGGACGACCAGCCACACUGGGAUGAGACACGGCCCAGACUCCUACGGGAGGCAGCAGUGGGGAAUUUUGGACAAUGGGCGCAAGCCUGAUCCAGCAAUGCCGCGUGAGUGAAGAAGGCCUUCGGGUUGUAAAGCUCUUUCAGUCGAGAAGAAAAGACUGCAGCGAAUAACUGCGGUUUAUGACGGUAUCGACAGAAGAAGCACCGGCUAACUACGUGCCAGCAGCCGCGGUAAUACGUAGGGUGCGAGCGUUAAUCGGAAUUACUGGGCGUAAAGGGUGCGCAGGCGGUUUUGUAAGUCAGAUGUGAAAUCCCCGGGCUUAACCUGGGAAUU
rnacentral:rRNA from 1 species